rnacentral:rRNA from 1 species
AUCGCCUUCCGAAUACCCAAAUAUGGAAGGUCCCGCCUGCCCUGUGAUCAUGUAUUUAACGGCCGCGGUAUUUUGACCGUGCAAAGGUAGCGCAAUCACUUGUCUUUUAAAUGAAGACCUGUAUGAAUGGCAUAACGAGGGCUUGACUGUCUCCCCCUCCCAGUCAAUGAAAUUGAUCCCCCCGUGCAGAAGCGGGGAUAAAACCAUAAGACGAGAAGACCCUGUGGAGCUUUAGACAAUAAUAUGGAGCCUGUAAAGAUAGUCCAUCCCCAUGAAUAAACAAAAGGCUAACCCAUUUUGAUGUCUUUGGUUGGGGCGACCGCGGGGAAACAAGAAACCCCCACGUGGAUACGUGAACACCCUUCUUUGAAACCAGAGUGGCAGCUCGAAGCACCAGAACUUCUGGCCUAAAUUGACCCGGCUAAAUAUGCCGAUCAACGAAACCAGUUACCCCAGGGAUAACAGCGCAAUCCUCUCCCAGAGCCCAUAUCGACGAGGGGGUUUACGACCUCGAUGUUGGAUCAGGACAUCCUAAUGGUGCAGCCGCUAUUAAGGGUUCGUUUGUUCAACGAUUAAAGUCCUACGUGAU